rnacentral:rRNA from 1 species
ACAUUAAAGUCACAACGGCAAAAAGAUGAGCAUGCGUCCCAUUAGCUAGUUGGUAAGUAACGGCUUACCAAGGCUACGAUGGGUAGGGGUCCUGAGAGGGAGAUCCCCCACACUGGUACUGAGACACGGACCAGACUCCUACGGGAGGCAGCAGUGAGGAAUAUUGGACAAUGGGCGCAAGCCUGAUCCAGCCAUGCCGCGUGCAGGAUGACGGUCCUAUGGAUUGUAAACUGCUUUUGUACAGGAAGAAACACUACUUCGUGAAGUAGCUUGACGGUACUGUAAGAAUAAGGAUCGGCUAACUCCGUG